ACAGAUUGUAGAAAUUAUAAAUUAAAAGAAAAUUUUCAAAUACCACUCAUGUGGUUUUAUAUUUUCUCACUUUAGUACUGACUUAAAGUGUAUUAAUUUAAUGUCCCGUAGUUUUAUUUUUAUCUUUUUAUUAUUGAUUUUUCUAAUUUUUUUCGUUAAAGUAGUGACAAAGUUCGAUAAAUUUAAAUAGGAUACCUGAAAUUUUUUGUACAUAAUUUAUCGAAAUAUUAAUAGAAAAACUAACGAAAAAAUAAAAAUAAAAAUACAGAAUAUUAACUUGAUAUAUUUUAAAUUAUAUAGUGCUAAAGUGAAAAAAAUGUGAAACCACGUCAGUCAUAUUUAAAAUUUAAAAGUGAAUAAUGACCUUUACUUUUUCAGCAUCAAUUUUCACUGCAGCGUUAAUUAAAGUAAGUGCGAAAAUAAUACAGAACCAAAGGCAACUGUACGUACUGUUGUUUCUUGUGCCCAAAGUAGAACAGCUAGCAAAUAAUCGAGACGUAGAUCUCUUAUUUGAAAAAACAAAAAACGGAUUAAACGAUUGCAUUAAGAAUAAAGAACGGAGACCGUAAUCUUAUUCAACAGCAACAACAUGCAUGCAGCAGCCAAUCACCAAAACAUGCAUAAUCGCCAAAACGACCAAGACAUGUUUCGUCAGAUCAGGAAUCAAAAGAUUAAUUUAGACUCAGCAAUACAUCUAAGCUCGUCCCGGAGGAGGAGUGACGACUCUGAAGGGAGCCGCGAACUGGAGGAGCUCCUCGUCUUUCUCGAACUCGGCCAUCUCGCUCUCCUCCAUCGUCACCCACACUUCCACGCCUCUCGGGUCCACCUCCGGCGACCGCGGCAUGAGCACCGACAGGUUUCGAACCCGCGCGGUGGUCCCAACCCAGGCCGGCCUCCCCCACCCGAAGUCGACCUCGUACAAGGGGAGGCUCAGCCAGGAGCUGAAGAAGUAAUGGUCGAAGCCCUCGAACCCCCGGCUGCGUAUCACCCCGUCCACGAUCAGCGCGUAGGCCGACGAAUGCCCGUCCGGCGCGCGCAGCUUCCGGGUGUGGUCGGCGUUCAUCAUCUUCGCCGACCGGCCGAGCUCCUCCUCGAGAACGCCCCUCGCGGCGCCGCUCCGGGCCAGGACGAGCUCCACCGUGGCCUUCGCGGCCGCGGCUCCCGCGGAGAAGCAGCGGUUGCCGAAGGAGGCGUUGGGCGCGGGGGGCGCCAUGCGCGGGCGCGUGUCGACCAGGAGCGACGCCACCGAGGCCCGCGCGGGCGGAGGGCGCGCGCGCAGCGCGCAGCGCCACAGCAGCGCGCACACGGCCUGGACUCGCGUGGUCGAGCUCGGGAGCCCCGAGCGGAGCGCCGCGACCUCGGGCCCGGCGAUCACGAAGCCCUUGCGCACGAGCGGCGGCGCGCCGGGGGGCCGCGCCUGGUCCUCCUCCGGGACGACGUCCUCGCUCGGCGGGAAGAGCGCGGCGCCGUCGAAGACGGGGUCGGGUGCGGCGGAGGCCCAGGACUGGAGGAAGAGGAAGAGGGAGCGGCCGUCGAGGAUCUUGUGGCAGGCGCAGACGCCGAGGGCGAGGCCGCCGCAGCGGAAGGCGGUGGCUUGGACGGAGAGGAGGGGGGCGCCCUCGGCGCCGGCGGCGGAGCAGGAGCGCGCGCAGGGGAGGAGCUUCUCGACGUGGUGGAGGCCGCGGAGGCCGCGGAGGAAGUCGGCGAGGUCGGCGUCGGCGCGGGCCUCGAGGAAGCGGGCGCCCGCGUCGCAGCAGCGGACGUGGGUGUUGAGGACGAGCUCGCCCGCGAGCGGGUAGAAGCGGGAGAGCGCGCGGGGCAAGGAGGACUUCAUGGCCCGGAUGCGCUCGGCGGCAGGUGUUUGGGGGGAGCCCCGGUAGAAGAAGGCGACGGGGAGGUGGUAGACGCGGGCGAGCUGGUCGGCCCACCCCAGCGUGUAGCUCCGGAGCUCCGGCGGGGUGGGCGUGGACGGCUUGAUAGUCUCCAUGGACACUACCUCAGCCUCAAACUCCAAACUUUCGUCCAUUGUUUCGUGCUCGCGCGAGUACACAGAUCGAUGGAGAGAGAGACAGAGAGGGAGGACGCCGGGGACACGGGAAGUCACUAAAAAAAAAAAAAAAAAANAAAAAAAACACCUCCCGAUGUGAUAUUCGGCAGGGACGCAAAGGGUGCGGAUCAGGAUCAGGAUGGGAGAGUGCGGACUAUUUUUUAUUUUAUUUUUUACGAAUUAUUUUUUAUUUUAUUUUUUUUUUGCUCUUACUUACAUUCUUAUUUGGAUUGAGAAUUUUUAGCGAAUUUUUGACGAAUCAACAUUCAACACAGAUUAAAAAAAUAAAAAUUUUGUUUCUCAUUUUAUUUACUUGACAGAUCGAAACGAAUUCAUGACGAAUUAUAUUUUUUUAUAUUUUUUGUUCCUACUUAUCCUCUCAUUCGAGACAAAUCGAGGCAGGAGCGCUCCACCAACCCGGAUCCAUCUGUGUCCCUACUACUCAGGAGCACGAUGUCUCCGUAUUUAUUUUUUAUUUGGCUAAAUUCCCAAACUAUAAGACGUAUAAUAUAUAUUUUGGUUCUCAAAGUUUAAUCUUUUAUAUUUUUAGCUCAAUUUUUUAAAAUUGGUUACAAUCAAGAUUCAUAACCUAAUUUACUUAAACCCUUUUAUUUAAACAUAUAACAAUAAAAUAAUUUAAUGCAACUCAAAUAUUUACUUCAAAUUUUAAAUUUUAAAUUUUAAGUUAUUAAAUUUAAGCGCUCUUACAUGUACCCCCAUUCCCCAAUGAAGUAUUGAAGUGUAUCUUAUAAUACUAUUGAUUAUGUGACAAUAUUAUUAUUACACACUAAUUAUUAAUUACUAAACUUCAAAUAUUAUUAAUAGACCCCAUGUGCAAUUCUAAACUUUUUAAUCCCUCCAUAUAUGCAUGUAAACUUAUCGAUAAAAUUAUAUGUACUCAAAAAUAGGAAACCCAAACCAUUUCUCGUUAAAUUUUAUCUUAGGCCAAAUUACAGAAAAUUUUUCUCUAAAUAGUUACCUUUUUACCUUUUCUUUUUAAUUUUUAAAAAUAUACAUUUUGGCCCUUUAAGAUUUGAGAAAUAUUUUUAAAAAGGUAUGGUGUUAAUAGAGAGAGUAAAAUGACAUAUUAUCAUUACUUCUUUAUAAAAAAAAUAAUUUUUUAAUAUAUAUAUGUUAUUUUGAAGAAUAUUUUCUGUAUAAAUUAGAAGAAAUAGACGGAACAAUGAUGAAACUUGAUGGAGGGAGGUUAAAUUGAAUAAUUUGAAAUGUUGGAGGAAAAAAAAUAUAAUUUUUAAAAGUUAUAGUAAAAAGUGGAAAAAAAAAAAGUUUACCUAUAAGGUUUCAAUAAUUUAGCCUUUAUCUUAUCUUUGGAUUAUUAACUUUUAGCUUUUAAUACCCUUUUAAAUGUUGAUCAUCCUCUAGUCUUGCACUAACAUUUAAUAUAGCCUCGUAAAUAUGACCAUACAGUUACUGCACUAACAUUAAACGCGGAGAUCGACUGUCCCUAGAAUAAAGUGACAAAGAGUUUGACGGUUGGUACCCGAGGUUUCAAGUUCGAAUUCUAGUUGAUUCAAUUAUUAUCUAAGUUUAUUUUUAAAUAAAAUAAACAAAACAGAUAACGCGAGUUACGUGAUAUCUUAAAAAAAAAAAAAAAAAAAAAAAAGCACUGAGUGCAGUGCAAGGAACAUUGGCGAGUGGUCAUUGAUUGAUCUGUCCACAGCAAAUAAUAUCUUAUCCCAACUGUGCUUUAGAAUAAAUAUUGUGCUCAGAAUCAAUAGGAAUCACGUGCAAAGGAAUAGUCUAAAUAGAAAAUGAAUAUAAUAACCUAAAAAAAAAGUUUCAUCUUUGUGCCUGAAAAAGAUAAUAGCUAGAUAUCUUUUCAAAUUAAUUUGGAAAACAUGUAUGUAUAUAUAUUGAAUCCUUCUGAUCGAGUUUAAUUUAAUUGAUCCGACUAAUUUUAUAUAAACGUUUAAGAUAUUGGAUUUAGUCACUUGACAAAUUUUGCUAAUUAAUAUCAUUUUAGAACACAAGAAAUAGGUAUUCAAAUAUUAUUAUUUUUUGUGACUAUGUUAUUGAAAUUCGGAUAAUGUCAUUCACUUGAUUUUUAUCAUAUAUGGAGUAGCGUUAGUGUGCUAUUAGGAGUACGGUGGCUUUCGUGCUUAAUUUUGUGCUAUUUUUAAUUAUGGAACUUUCGAAUUGACGAUCGGUUUCGCUAGAUUUGAUCUAACGUAUUUGAAGUACCAAAAAAAUAAAUGUUAUGAUUUUUUGAUAUAAUUUAUUUAUUGAUCAAAAGGGUUAAUUAAAAAUCAAUUUAUUUUUAAUGGUUGAUGUGUAUGCUAUUUCUAUCGGAUAAAAUUUUGAUAGAAAAAUUUUGUACUAACUACAGCAUGAUCAAAAUCUUUGAUCGAAAUUUUUAGUACUAUAUUAUGAUUUUUUAUAAGAUUUUUAUUUUUAGCCAUCCAUAUUUAGUUAUUUCGAUCACUAGGUAAAUAAUAUCGAAAAUCUACAAAAUUUAUUUUCUACAUACUUCAAAUUUGCUAGAUCAAAACUAACGGAGCCGAUCGUCGAUUUAAAAUUUCUAUCAUCGAAAAUAGAUUUGAAGCACUGAAACCUCCAUAAUCCUAAUCGUACACUAGUCCUACUCUCUCUCUCUCUCUCUCUCUCAAUAUAUAUAUAGAAUUAUGCUACUAUACUAUCAAUAGUACCAAGUUCUUGGUACUAUUGAGUUUUCGGCCGUUGAAUGAANAUAGAAGCUCAAUUCUAUAUAUAUAUAUAUAUAUAUAUAUAUAUAUAUAUAUAUAUAUAUAUAUAUAUGUGGCUACGAAAAAGUGAAUGCGUCUAAAUUUCGGAUCACCGAUAUUGAAUGAUGCAAGAAAAGUUUAUUAGCCUCGAUGGAAUGCGACGAUCGGAGGGCGUUUCAUUUUUGGUGUUUCGAAUUCGAGCGCCAUUAGAUCAUAGAGCACGUUCAAUAACUUGGUUAUUUGUUUUUUGAGUGAAAAUUAAGCAAUUAGACUACAAAACAUUCAACUGAAAAGAGCUUAGAUCGGAGAGUUUCAACCACAUUCAGAAUUAGUACAGCACGAUCUCACGCGCAUCAUAAAAUUCAUCACCUGUCCGUCUUUAACAGUGAUACAAACUUAUAAAGACAUAAUUUUGGAUCCUUUCAAGAACUACUGUGGAAGCCGGAAACAUCACAACGUGUGAAAACCAAAGUUUAAAGAUUUUCUAAGAAUAAAUAUAAUCAGUAAACCGAGUAGCCAUAGGCAAGAGACUAAAAGUCACUUAGCUUUUUAGAUUCUCUAAAAACAAUAAAUCAUGAGUCUUUGUUCGCAAUGAUAAGGAGUCUUACUUCUUCGCUAAGCCCCGAUCUCAAAAAAAUAUUAUAUUCCAUUUCUGUAAGUAUACAGUAGAUCCGAACUAGUAAGAUUGUCGCGAGCGUUUGAUUUUGCCAACUUAGUUGCGAUUCUAUCAUCGAGAGACAAGAACCAUACUAUUCACUCCGUAGCUAGCCGAAGAGCCAAAUGAGCUCUCCAACUUCUUCUCCCUUCACGAAAAGGAAGCUUCUUUUUGUGAUUAGAAUAAUUAUAAGGAGUCCGCCUGGGAUACUAUCGAUUAUAUUAAGGAUUUGAUGCUAUCGAGUUUUCUACCGUUAGAUUUAAUCAUUUGAUUAUUUUUAUCCGUUAAAUUAUAUUAUUCAAUCAACCACUCACUCAACCCUAGAGUGUCUACAUCAUCCUAACCACACAUUUUUCAAUCCAAAGGAUAAAAAAUUAAUAGCACCAAUAGCUUGGUGCUAUUGAUAGUAUUUCAGUCUAGUUCUAAUUAUGAGUAUUUACGAGCUUUUUAAGAUUCUAUUAUUGAGGAAUGAGGAUGGCCCAAAAUGCAUAAUUAAUAACAAGAAGUUGUGCUGCACUGAGUUAGCACUAGAAUAGCAGAAAUUUUGGUUGAUUCCUCAAAUAGUUAAUGAAAGUGACAGGCACUGCAAGAUUGUUGCCCAGACAUUGGCAUUUCCUUCAUUUUUUGUCUCACAUUGAAAGUUUUGCCUGGUGAAAAAUGCUUUGGUACAAAGAUAUUAUCUGUACUAAUUAUUGAUCGGUAAAAAUGUUAGUAAAGAUCAUGCAGAAAUAACUAUUUAACUUGCACUUACUACCGAUAACCUCGUUAAGCGAGGGUGGACCAGAGACACAGUCUGUGUGCUCUACAGGGCCCACGAUGAGUCAGUGGACCAUCUAUUCACUCAAUGCGUUUUUACCAAGUACACCAUAGUGAUGGGACUCGAGGACGUUCGGGCGGAGGAAGUAGGUGACGGCGUGCUUGUAGUUUGGGAUAAGUAGAUGGGUGGAGCUACGGUGCGCGCUAGGAGGAAUGGACUUUCAGAAUUGGUCGCAUACUGAUGGACGAUUUGGAAGGCCCGGAACAAUCAUGUUUUUUGUAACCUACUGUUUGACCCUGAUUUAGCCGUUCAAAGGCUCAAGGCACUCCUAACUUCGUGGAAAGAUCUGCUAUGAAUUUUUUUUUUUUUUUUGGGGUGUUGUUUUUCUUGAGGUUCUUGUUGCCUCACCUCUGUAGUCAAAUUUAUCUAUUCAAUAAAUGAAGCAGGUAGCGUGCUACCUAUUCUCAAAAAAAAAUACUUCUUAUUUUGAUUACUACAGAAAUAUUCAUUUACUUGAUUUUAUGUUUUGUAAUUAUGAGAAACUAUUGUGUACACUUGGUGUACUAGUACAUUCUAAUGCUGCAUUUUUAUUGAUUAUUUGUUUUAUUUGAUUUUUCUAUCUCUAGCAGCCGAUAUGUUGUCGUUUUUUAGUUAAAAAUUGAGUAAUUGAAUUAACAACAUGAACUGCAGUAAAAAAAAAAAAUCUAUACAACAUUUUCAAAACAUGUUUACAAAAAAGAAAAUUUUCUUUUAGUACGAGCAUUAACAUAUUAAUUAAUAAUAUACAAAGAUAAUAUUCUGGAGAGCUUAUUGUUGUAUUGCUCUAAGUAAAAAAAUAGUAAAUGCUUUGGAUUAUCUUAACUAUCAUCCUUUCCGGUCACUACAAUAUAAUUGGUUAAUUAUUUUGUUGUUAAAUAUUGUUAGUACUCAUAAUAUAGAGCAUUCCGAUUGAUUUAUAGAUUCAACUCAAAACAUAAUGUGUAAUUUUUUCAAAAAAAAAAAAAUAUUAAGAACCUAUAUAAACAAUAUUUUGGAGGACUCUAGGGAAUGGGAAAAUUUUUAUCACUGUACGAUAAGUUUUUCGUUUGUUUUGUUAAGUGAUACUAUGAUGGACAUAUCGCAAUGGAUAUAUUAAUUACGGUUACUCCAAAAAAUAUAUAUUUUUACGUCCUCAACCUCAUUAUAUAUAUAUAUAUAUAUAUAUAUAUAUAUAUAUAUAUAUAUAUAUAUAUAUAUAUUCCGAUCAUUGAUUAUUAAUCUUUAAAAUGAUUAAAUUCUCAUUAUCUUCUCCCUCCCCAUGCUUGUCCAGCCCAGAAAAACUUGCUUUUUAGCCCGGGCUCAUGCGAUACCCACUUUGGGCCCGAUCCAAUAACGGCCCAAUAUCGAUGGGCUUGGGUUUUUAUGCCUUGUUGAGGCCCAAUCCUAGUAAACCCAAAAGGCCAAUUGCUUGGUUAUUACUAAUUGGUCUAAGUCGUCAGGAACUUAGAAAAAUUUCGGUUCCACCCAAAUCCGUAGUACGGAUUUUUGUGAGCAAAAUUACUAAGUCCGUGACAAAGCGCUUGUUUAGCUCGGCUCGUGCAACAUCUUUUCCGCGUAGAGGAAGAUGCUUAGUAAACGAAAAAAAAAGAAAAGAAAAAAGACAAGAGUUUCGGAUUUUGGUCUGUAGUUCUAGACUACUGGCGAAUUUUAAUUUAUGAUUAUUUCAAAUAAACUUUAAUUUUUUUGAACAUAGGUUAGUUUAUUGGUUAUUAAAGAUUUAGAUAAAUUCAACUAUUAUUUUGUUAGAUCUAACCAUAAAUUCUAAAUACAGAUUUCGUUAACUGUUAAGGCUAGCAGCUAAUAACAAUGUUAAUUUUAAAAUCCUCAAUUAAUUCUCAAAAUUCCAACUAAAAAAAUGUUAAAAAGCAUUUACUAAUAAGUCUAUUUUUAACCUGGUCUAUUGGUAAGGUGUCCUCAUUAAUUAAUUAGUUAAAAAAAAAAAAAAUGUUCAUCCACAGUAGCGUACUCCCCGUAACGCCAUCACCAUCACGCUUGCUAGAUGUUCAAACUAUCAAUCUAGAUGUUCAAAGAGAAGUUAUUGCCUGCACCUGUUGUUUAAGGAGUACGUCUGGUAUACUUCUAGAAGCACGGAGCGCUCCGUGCUUCCAAGUUGUUUUCGAUGUUGGGACUUUCGAAUUGACGAUCAGCUCCGUUAGAUUUGAUCUACAGUAUUUUAAGUAUUUAGAGAAUAAAUUUUGCAAUUUUUUGAUAUCAUUUGCCUAGUGAUCGAAGUGGCUUAAAAUUAACGACUGAAAAUAAAAAUCUUACAAAAUAUGAUGAUAUGACAUUAAAAUUUUAGAUCAAAAAUAUUGAUCUUGUUUUCUAUAGUAUAAAGAAUUUUCUAUCAAAAUUUUAUGUGAUUUGAAUAUUUCUACACCGCUAAACUUGCAAAUGGCACACCAUGGCCAUUAAAAUUAUUGAUUUUGAGCCUCUUUAAUCACUAGGCAAAUGAUAUCGAAAAAUCACAAAAUUUAUUUUUUACGUACUUCAAAUACUUUAGAUCAAGUUUAACGGAGCCGAUCAUCAAUUCGAAUAUCCCAAUAUCGAAAACGAUUUGGAAGCAAGAAAGCUCCGUGUUUCCAGAAACAUACCAGUUUACUCGUUGUUUAAGUACAAUUAAUACACCGCACCGUCAAAAUUCUAUCAUAAAAAAGUCUACCGUAUCAAUUGAUACAGUUACACUCUAUUUGCAAUUCGAAUUGUAGCAGUUUGAUUCGAGUAUAUCAAACUAAACAAUAUACUUACAUCAAUAUGCAGUUAUAAUUCCAGUGGCUAAAUUACGGAAAACCCUCCUGUCAAAACUUGCUUUUUCACUUUCCCCUCCUGUCAUUUAAAAAUCUAUACUUUGCUCCCUUAUAAAAUAAAAAAUGUUCACAAGGGGGUAUGGUGUGACAAAAUGACCAUUUUGUCCUUCGCCAUUUUCGUCUUCUCCCUCAUCCUCCUCAUCCGCGGCGGAGGAGGCCGACCUCGGGCGGGACGCAGGCGACGACGCCGUCGUCGAGGAGGACGAUCUCGUUGAGGGUGUCGGCCAUGCGGCCGAUGGAGGGCGGGAUGCAGCUGCCGAGUUUGUUGUGGGCGAUGACGACAAUGGAGGCCGGGGAGUCGCCGAGGUUGGAGGGGAUGGGCCGGCGGCGGCGGAGGCGGUUGGAGUUGAGGAAGAUGGCGUCGAGGGGCAGUCGAAGAGGAGGUUGAGCUCGUGGAGGAGGGCGAGGCCGGCGAGGGCGCCGUCCCGGAAGCCAUCGAAGCAACAAGAAAGAGGGGCGGAGGGGUAUUUUUGGCAUAAAAAUAAAUAUUAUAACGGAAACCUAACAGAACCCUAACGGUAGGAGGUGAAGUGCACAUUUUUUAUUUUACAAGGAGGCAAGGUGUAGAUUUUUAAAUGACAAGGAGGGAAAGUGAAAAAGCAGGUUUUGACAGAGGAGUUUUCUGUAAUUUAGCCUAGUUUUAAUUAUAUAUAACCAAAUAGUUUCUUAUUAGAUAUAUUUUAUUAGUUCAGCGAGAGUAAAAAAUUAAAUACAAAUAUUUUUAGAGAUUUUUCCAGGAUAAGUGAUAUGGCAAGAAGUUGUAGCAACUAACUUUCCAUUCACAUAAGAUGGAUAUUAAGUAGUUGGUGAUUCCAUCCUAUCAAUUAAUCAACAAAUACAAGUAGGAAUUGACCAACACUGUCUAACUGGAACAAAUAUUUUAUUUUUCAACUGGGGACUUGCAAAUGGAGACAGCCAGACAGGGAGCAAAGGCUUUUGGUAGAUGAUAUGCUUCUCUCACUUUGUCACCUGAUGACUUGUACAUCUAUUUAUUAGUGAACUAUUUUUAGAGUCCCGCUGCUAUACUCUUGUGACGACGUUCAUCUUCGUACUCAUAAAUUAUUUUCGAUGAUAGAGUUUUUGAAUCGACGAUCCAUACUGUUAAACGUUAUCUAGAUCAUUUAAAAUUUUUAGAAAUCAAAUUUUAUAAUUUUUUGACAUUAUUUAUCUUACGAUCAAAAGCUCGCAAAAUUGAUAAUUUUUAACGACCGGUAUAAAAUAGUUGCUAGUUUAACGAUAUAAAACAAUCAGAAUCGGUUAAAUUUUUGAUAGAAAUUUUAUUCACUAUUUAGAUAAAAGAUCAAUAACUCCGAUCUUAAAUUGAAGAAUUCAAUCAUCUAUGUUUAGGAUAUCAUUCUAUUUCGACUGUUUAUUUAUACCCAUCGAUGGAUUUUAUCGUGACUUUGAAAAAUUACGAAAUUUAUUUUUUAAAAAUUUUAAAUACUCUAUAUCAUAUUUGACGGAGUGAAUCGUCGAUUCAAAAUCUCCAUCAUCGUAAACGAUGAGUAUGAAGGGCUCUAUACUCGUAAGAGUAUAGUAAUCAUACUCCUAUUUUUAGGAAAAAUUUCUUCAAUACCCUUCCAAGCAGCUCUAAUUUCAUGAAUACCCUUCAAAAUUUUAAAAUUUCAUAUUUGCCCUUCAAAAGUAUGGAAAAGUUUCAAAAAUACCCUCACUGCUAGCAAUCUGUUAUAUUAGUUUCAAAAUACCAAUUGUACCCUCUAUUUUAAUUUAAUCACCACUCUCACAAAUUUUUUUUUGAAUAUAUGGAGACCCCCUCAAUUACAACCCAUUGUGAAAUAGCCUUCUAAAUUUAACUUUUUAAUUAAAGUCUUUAAAUUGAAUGAUUUUUUAUUAUAAAAUUAGAGAUUUCAUCUAAUCCAUUAAUGAUUCAAACAAAUUUAAUAAUUUUAAUAACUUCGUAGUAUAUAAAAUUAAAUAAGUUUCUGUUCAAAAAAGAAAAUUAAUAAAAACUUCAAGGAUUUAUUUAAAUGACCUAUAGUUGAUAGUUUUAGUAUAAAUAUCAAAAAAAUAAGUGAAAAAAAUUUGAUUUUUAAACAAAAAGUGAACAAAUUAAGGGUAAAAUGGUAAUUUCAUAUUUUGAAAUCAAAUAAAAAAAUGCUAUGCCGACAGAAGUUAGCAAAAAGUAAUGGCGAGGAUAUUUAUGAAAGAAAUAUUGUAUUUAGAGGGGUAUUUGUGAAAUUUAAAAAAUUAAAAGGGUAGUUAUGAUAUUUCAUAAUUUUGUGAGGGUACAAAUAAAAUUAACCCCUAUUUUUAUGUAUUCACCGGCAAACUGUACAAGCUGGUGGAUUGAUCUAGGUAGAUCAAAUCGGUGAAUGCAUUACUAGGAGCAUCUCGGCUAUUUAAUCGACAUAUAAAUAGCGAUUCUCUUUCCUUCUACUUCUGCAUGGCGGAUCUAAUUUUCGAGAGUAAGAUCUUAUCCAGAGCAUUCUAUUUUCUUAUCACAGUUUGAGUUGAUAAAAUUAGAAUAACGAUGGAGUUUUCUCUGAGUUUAGGAGAAUUUCCGCUAGUGUUCCUUUGGUACUCCUCUACGAGGCCAAAGGGGAAAGAACCAAUCUUUUUUUCUUUCAAAAAUUUUUGGCAUCGAUUUUUUUUUAGUUCUUUUUUUCCCCACUUUUGAUCCGACCUAACAUCUUACUGUGAAAUUGGUUUCAUAACCUACAGUACUAUGAUCUCAAAAUAUACUAUAACAUUACACAAUAAAUUUUAAAAUGCUAACUCCUGAUAUAUAGUUUUUAAGACUAUGAACAAAUAAUAAAUUUCAAAUAUUAUUUAAGUUUUUUAGAUAUUGCUCGUCACGUCCAUUAAUUAGAUAAUAUUAAUAAUCCAAUAUUUAGUGUGGUACAUAUGAUGUACGGAUGCACAGGGUUCGUGCAACAAUCUCUCAGUACGACCAGCGAAUAGGGGCCCACAAUCUGACCGACAUGCGCCAUCGAUCUACUCAAUGCGCUGCUUAAUUCAACUAAUCAUCAUUAAUAAAAACCAAACAACCCACACUUUUUAAAGCACCUGGGCUAUACUGCUACGUGUACCUUAGAAUGUACCCCAGAAUACUACGGCUUUUUGAAUGAUUUGAAAUUUUAAUCCGAUAAAAAUUUGAAGUUUAAAAGUUACAUUAAUUUUAAGGGCUCGAAAACAUUGAUUAACCGAUAACAUUUUGGUUCAUUUUGGAUAUGGAUGGUAAUAAUAGAAGUUACUUUUUUUGGAAUAAGAUUUAAAAUAUUUUUUUUACAGCUUAUUAUUUUACGGACUAGAUGAUCGAUAUACCUCAUCGUAUUUUCUUAUUUAUUUUAUUUUUAAAUUAUUAUUAAAAAUAUUAAAAUAUUAUAUUUUUAUUUGGUUUUUAAUGCUUCGCGUCAAUAUUUUUUUUUAUUUUGAGAGAAAGAUAGCAUGCUAUUCGUUUAAUUUUUUAAAAAAUAAAUUUUAUUGAAAAUAUAAAAUAACUAAACUUUGAAUUUAAAAUUUAUGUUAUAUAUGAAGUGAUCUCUAUAGUGUUUAAUCUUAUUUCCUCCUCUUCUCUGCUUGUACAGGUCAUAAUUUACUUUCAUUGUUGUAAUGGUUUUACAAGCUUAAUAAAAAUUUAGAAACAAAUUUUAUUUAAACAAAAAUCAUGUAAUUUAUAAUAUUAUAAAAUUUUAUUUAAUUUUUAGCGACAAAUCUUGUAAAAAGUAUAUAUAUAUAAAAAAAAAUAGGACACAACGUUUUGAAUCGCAAAAUAAUAAACCAAUGCUUAGCUUUUUUAUAUAUAUUUUUUUAUAGGAUCUCGUACCAUCACGGACAUGCUCUCUCAUCUAGUCAUCUCAUCAAAAACAUUCCAAAAAGGGCCGAAAUAAUAUUUGGUAUUGACGGGACAUUGAAAUUUAUCUAAUGUAAGAGUUACUUUUUUAUUUUUUAAAAAAAAUUAUAAAACUAAUAUGAUAAAAUUAGAUUAUUACAAUCCCAAUAAUAUUUUAAUUUUAAACUAAACAAAAAUAUGUAUGUGAUAUAUUCUCCCCCGCAAUCCCAACGAAAUUAAGCUUUAAACUUCUAAUCUUUUACCAGAAAAUGAGAAAAAAAAAAUUCUACUAAUCAAUUCGCAGGGUACCAUUAUUAGUCAGAUUAGAUUAGGAAGAUUAGAUCAUUAAAGAUUAAAUUAAGAAGAUAAGAAAGCGCUGCAGGGACAAGCUGGCACACCGCGCUCACCACCACCCUCACACUCACCAUCAGCAUCGCCACCGCCAACAACAGCAACAAAAAGAAGCGCCUUCCCCAUCCCCCCCCCCCCCAAUCCCGUGCUUCCCCCUCCCCUCUCCCAUGGCCCCACCCCUUUUCCCCCUCCCUCACUCCACCCAGAUUCCCACCCUAUCUCCCCCUCCUCUUCCGACGACGACGACGACGACGACGACGACGCCAUGCCCAGCGUAGGGAUCAAGCUCUACAGCGUCCUCUUCAAGCUCCUCCUCCGCCACCGCCUCCACCACCUCCCCGGCUCCGGCUCCUCCUCCGGCGGCGGCGGAGGAGGAGGCGCCGCCGCCGCCGGAGGAAACCCUUUCGGGGUAUCAUCACGCCCCGACGCCGAUGGCGUCGCCACCAAGGACAUCCACAUCGACCCCCUCACCUCCCUCUCCGUCCGCAUCUUCCUCCCCGAUCCCUCCCUCUUCGCCCCCUCCCCCCACCAGCACCCCCCUCUCCGCCGCAACAGCUUUCCCGCUCCGCCGCCCUCCGCUGCGGCCCCCGAUCUGUCACGCCGCGCCAGCUUCGGCGCCGCCGCGUACCGCGGGUACCUCCCCGCCCUCGAUGGGGGCGGGGGCCGGGGCCGCGCUGCGGCGGCGCGGCGGCUCCCCGUGGUGGUCCAGUUCCACGGGGGCGCGUUCGUCUCCGGGAGCGCCGAUUCGGCCGCGAACGAUCUCUUCUGCCGCCGGAUCGCGCGGCAUUGCGAGGCGAUCGUGAUCGCGGUCGGGUACCGGCUCGCGCCGGAGUGCCGGUACCCCGCGGCUUUCGAGGACGGGCUCAAGGUGCUCAAUUGGCUCGCGAAGCAGGCGAAUCUGGCGGAAUGCAGCAAGUCGAUGGGGAGCAUCAGGCUCGGGGCCGGGGGCGGCGCUGGGGCCGUGACCGCGAAGGCCGGUGUGCAACGCUACAUUGUCGAUGCCUUCGGGGCCUCGUUGGUGGAGCCGUGGCUCGCGGCUCAUGCCGAUGUCUCCAGGUUCCUUUCUGCCCUCCUGCUGUUCUUUAGCAUUGCUCGCGCAAUUGUGGUUUGAUCUGUAGAAUAUUCAUGGUCACUUUCAUUUUAUUGCAUCGUAGGAUAAAGAUGUGUAGUUUGUUUGAAUUGCAAAAUAAUACUGCAAACUAAAAAAACAAAAAAAUGGUGAUGUUGUAGGAUUAUGGUGAGAAUUAAGGGGUGGAAGCUUGUGCUCAAAAUUUUAUGCCCAUUGGUACCGGACUAGGUGAUGCAAUUGGUUAAAUUAGCUCUGAAUGCUUAUGACACGCCGAACAAUGUCUAGUACUGUAAGUUUUAAUAGCUUAAGGAUAGCUGAAGAAAGAGGGCUAAGAAUACGCCUUCUCAUUGUCUUCUUAUGUUCAUUUUGUACUUAAAUAUGUGGCUAGUUGAUUGCGCAGGUUCAAAGGUAUAACCAGUUAUUGCUACUUGCAGAAUAUAAUCCUAUGGAGUUUUAGCUGUGUUGAAUAUGAUGGUCUUGUGAGAUAUCUGUGAUCUUGUAUGUAUGUGCUUUUGAAAGUUGCUUGAAAUUGAAUAUUGUGUAGGAUUAUUAAACUAUAAAUAGGGAUUUCAUGUACGAAUGACGAGUAUUGCAGUCAAUGAAGUUUUUUUGAAGGAUUAACUGCAUACAUAGAUUUAGGAGGUUGCCAAUUUGUAUCAUGUUAAUGAUCAUGAGGAUAAUAAGCAUAGAAAUAUGAAUAACUGAAAGUCAGAAUUUGGAUUAAGGAGCACAAAAUUACUGCUAAAUCAAAUUGAGUUAGAAGAACAAUCUUUUGUUCCAUUGGCCGAUUUCCCAGGCUAGCUUGUUUGAUCGAUUGGGCGAUCUAUUGAUUUAAUCUGUGCAUGUUUCCAAACGAAGCAUCAUGAAGAACCAGGAAAAUAAAGUGGAGUUGCCCUCUUUGUUUUCUUGUUUUAUUUUCUCAUUGAGCACUGUUUGAAAAUGCGCGCCUGAGGCGCGCGCCUAGGCGCGAGGCGCAGGCCUCAGCGCCUCAGCAAUAGUGAGGAGCAGCACUAUUGCUGAGGCGCGCGCCUCCGGCCUGAGGUGCGUGCCUCAAGAGGCGCGAGGCGUGCCUGAGGCGCGCGCCUUGCAAUAUUUAAGUUUAUAGGGAUUUUUUAUUCAAGUUUUUAAGUUGUCGGAUUUUGAAUUUACAUCUUAUACUUUAACCUGAUAAGAUAUUUAAAAAAUCUUAAAAGAAAUUUUUAAAAAAUGUAAGUUUUCGGGUUGUCGGAUUUUGAAUUUGUAUCUUAUACUUUAAACCCGAUAAGAUACUUAAAAAAUCUUGAAAGAAACCCACAAAACUCUUAAAAAACCAGCCGCUCGCCCCCUCCUCUCCAUCUCUUGUUCUCCCACAUCCUCUCUCUGUCGAGCAUCCAACAGUAGCUGUGUUAGCAGCGGCAGCAAACCAGCGGUGGCCAGAACAAGCAACUAGCAGCAAUGGUAGUAGAAAAUAAGAAGCAGCUGCAGCAUAAGCAAAAACAUCAAAUUAAACUAUAUGCAUGUGUUUUCUUUACUCUUUGAUGGUUAUUUGGAAUUUAUUAAUGUAGAACAUCAAAUUAAACUAAACUUAGUAAAUGUGAGCCUCGCCUUCUUGAGGCACGCGCCUCGCAGUGCACCUCGCGCCUAGGCUCCAGGAGAGUCUUGUGCCUCUCCGCGCCUCGCGCCUGACUUUGACUGGAUCAGAAGCUAGAGAGAGAGAGAGAGAGCGCGCGCGCGCUUCAAUAUGCUGUCAGCUACUUGGCCUUGCUUGUACAAGAAAGAAAUGAUAUUUGAGGUCUAUCAUCAACUCAUGGAAUAUGAGAAGAAACGGGCAAUGGUGCAAUUUUGGAGAAAGAAACACAUUUUUGCUACCUCCUCCUUUUCCUUCUGUUCGGAAUAUCUAGCCAAUGACCGUCUAUGAUAUACUAAAACCAUUUCAUCAAUAUCUAAUGAAAUUUAAUGAAUAUAACACCUUAAGCAAAACAAAUUUAUGAUGGUGUUAACCUUGCUUCAACUAAUAUCAUGCUUUGUUUGAGCUUUCUCUUCAAUUUAUGUCUUCUUGGAUUUUGCCAGGUUGCAUUAAGGAAAAGUCGUUUUGAUUUCAUUCUUCUUGUGCUAUUAUCAUAAAGCAUCAUUUGAUUUCAAGUAUGACAUGGUGAACAUCUUAGAUUCAUUAGGAGAGAUAAUUCAGCUAGUGGCCCCCUUAAUACUAGAGCAUAGACACUGAUCGAGUUUAGGUUGAUGUAACUUGAUAGACACCGAUUAGGCAACUUUUUCACUGGUAUGCACAUUGAUAUACCUUAAGUUGCUUCUGUGCCAUAUAUGCCAAAUAGCAUGCCAACUAACAUGCACUGGCAAUUCUAAAGGCAAUACACAAGCUUAUAUCUAGUUCUUUAAUGUGAUUGAAGAUUUAUAACUUUUGACUAAAUAUUCUCUGCUUGAAUCUUUGUUUAAAAGCGACACACAAGUGAGGUCUAAUCCAUGCAGUGAGUAGAUAAACUCUAAACAUUAAAACAAGGUAUUACUAAACUCUGCCGUCAUAGAAGAAACAGAGAAGAAUGUGAACAUUUCUGUAUUAUCAAAAAAUUUUAAAAAAAAAUCUUUCGAAGCACUAUAUUAAGUGUACUAAUAUCAACCAAUUGCUAAUAGAUGGCACAUUAGAUGAUUGAUAUGUUAGACACUAACACUACAUGGCUAGCUUAAUUUUGGUACUCAUGUUAUGCAUUAUCCUUUUUAUGCUGUACCAAUGGUAACUUCUUCCUGAAGAAAAUAUCGUUUUUUUAACCCCUGUGCAAAUGCUUUUCUUACCUCUUUUUGUAAUAACCUAUUCAUGCUGUUGGUUAUUCUUUUGCUAUAAUCUGGCAUGUUUUGAAAUUGAUCCUUCAAUGUUGCUUUUCAAAUUUCAUGAAGUUGAUUAAUUCACUGGUUAUUAUUUUCCCUCUUACGAAGUGCUCCCUAUUCUAAAUUUCCUUCCUACUAUGCUGUAACAGGUGUGUUCUCCUCGGCGCAAGUUGCGGAGCAAACAUCGCAGAUUAUGUGGCCCGAAAGGCAGUCGAGGCUGGGAAGCUAUUAGACCCCGUCAAAGUGGUCGCGCAGGUUCUAAUGUACCCAUUCUUCAUUGGCAAUGUCCCAACUCAAUCGGAAAUAAAGCUAGCAAACUCCUACUUCUACGACAAGCCGACGUGCCUGCUUGCCUGGAAACUCUUCUUACCUGAGGAAGAGUUCAGCUUAGACCAUCCUGCCGCAAACCCUUUAGUACCUGGAAGGGGCCCGCCAUUGAAGUGUAUGCCCCCGACUUUGACUGUGGUCGCGGAGCACGACUGGAUGAAGGACCGCGCAAUCGCUUACUCCGAGGAGCUCCGGAAGGUGAAUGUUGAUGCGCCGGUCCUUGAAUACAAGGACGCAGUCCAUGAGUUUGCAACACUUGAUAUCCUGCUCAAGACGCCGCAAGCUCAGGCCUGUGCCGAGGAUAUUGCUAUAUGGGUCAAGAAGUAUAUAUCUUCUCGCGGACAUGAGUUCUCGUAUUAGAUAUUGUAGAUUAGACGGUACGGGUUUUUUCAAACCAUUUUAGGUAUUGGGAAAAGAGCUGGAACCUUCCUCCCUGAAGUUAAGUUAUUGCACGACGAAGGCUACGGCUACUGAUCAUUAGUACGUUCAACCACGCAGAGCUACAUUUGACGCAGUAAGAGAGAGCGCAGAGCUGCAUUUGAUGCAGUAAGAGAGAGAGAGCGAGAGGAAGGGAGAUACAGGGAGAGGAUGUAUUGAUCUGCUUUAACUUGUGUUAAUGACAGUCAAGUUCUUUGGCACGUGUUAUGCCAUUAAAUGCACGAACCAUUCUAUAUAAAUAAAUAUCCAUGAUAAUCCAAAUUCUCUUUUUCUUUAAAUGAUGAUAUCAACAGAUUUGGUUUUGAUAAUCUAUUUUGAUAUUGACAAGCGGAUUUAUCAAAAUUAAAUAAAUUUGACCUAAUUUAGUAAACCUAAUAUGCUUGCUUUCAAAAUCAUGCCCGUUGAUAUCACUUUGCCCUUUCUUCUUGUUUUCCUCUUGCUCUUUUCAUCUCCGUCUCUUCUAAGGCAGUAAAAUUAUCUAGUUCUACUCUAUGUGCUGCUUAGAUAUCAGCUUUGAAGAUACCCAAAAGAGUUCAUUUUAAUACACAACUAUAUAUAUAAGAAGAGAAAGAAAUAACAUCUCACUUGCUAACUAUAAGAAUUACCAAUAAAGAUAAUCACCAACCAACCAAUGAAACAGUAAUCUGAAACAAGCCGGAGAAAUACAUGGAAGGGAAACAAUAUAUAAGCAAACAACAACAGGAAGGUAACUAACAGUAGGCCUCUUCUCUUCAACCUAGUAGAAGAGUGAAAUUAGGAACGCGAGCCCGGCGAAGAGGGCGGAAGCGGUUGACGGGAUCUCGCGGAAGGCGGAGGAGCUACCUCCGCCACCUCCGCCACCUCCGCCACCAGCAGUUGGCGGGGGUGUGGGGCCGUCCGCAGCCAUUGCAGACGCGCUCAUCAGCAAUACCGCCAUGAAGAGCACCGCGGUGCGAACGGCGAGAGAAGAACUUGCAGUAGUUGCAGCCAUUUCCUUGAAGAGGUAGCAGAGGAGAUGAUACUUGCUUUGGUUACUGGGGUUUUGGUAUGAGGUGAGAGUUCUCUGCUCUGCAGUUUAUAACCUGGAGAUGAUUGAAUUGGUCAAGGUAUAGGGUUAUUGUUGAAAUGUCUUAUUCAAAAACCCAAAAAAAAAAAAAAGAAGAAGAAGAAAACAAUACCAAUACACAACUAAGAAAAUGGUGCCAUGUAACCAAAAUACAACAUUAGUGUGCUAGAUUAUUAUUAUUGGCUUUAUUCAACACGAAAUAGGCGACGACCAGAAGAAAACAACGAGGUAGCCGCCCAGUACGUAACGUAUGCAUAGUUCCCUUCAAAAUAUAUUGUCAAAGGUUACACCUAACAAAGCCUGGUAUAUAAAGAAGCUUCUAUGAUUGAGCUACAAAUGGGAGAGAGAGAGAGAGAGAGGUUAGAAGGUUCCACCUCAAUUUGUAAUAAUAAUAUAACUUACGUGGCGGUUCCGCCACCUGCAAACUGGUACCAAAAAAUAAAUCUAAUACAAAAUAAUUUUUAUUCACGUGCACAAUAUAAAUCGGAUGAAUUAUAUCAAAAGAAGAUGAAACACAGAAUUUUAAUUUAAGGUUAAUUGUAUAUUGUUUUCUGUAAAUAUAUUAAAUAGCAGAUAUGUUUCUAUAAAAUUUAACUUUUUAUAUUUAUUCCUACAAAAGUCUUAACGAUUUUAAAUAUCUUCAUGCUGUUACGAUCUUUAUACAGUUAACCAUAAAUAAAAUACUUAAUUUUGAUUAGUUAAUGAGAUAAAUUAACAUUUUUAUUCUUUUUUUAAUUAUUUGUGAAGGUAGAAAAAAAAAAUGACCACCGGAGAUUUUUGGGAGGAUAUUACUAUAUAAUUCUAGCAGUAAAUUACGUUUCUGAAAGGACAUAUUUGUGAUAGUAAAAGUGCCAUUGCACUUAUCUUUUAUCGAAAUAUAAAUAAUGCUUUAACGGUAACAAAUCAGAGAAGCGAAUGCGGAUAUUACUAGACUUUUGUAAAAAUAAAUAUAAAAAAUUAAACUUUGUAGAAAUAUAUUUACUAUUUGAUAUAUUUACAAAAAAUUGUAUGAAAUUAACUCUAAAAUUUGUGCUAUUGAAUGACGAAUACGGAAAUUUAAACUUAAGGAUUCUAAGAAAUUUAAACUUAAAUAUUCUACGAUAACUAACUAGCUGGUUUGCUAGUCCAAUUAGUUAACCUUUAAAACGGGGAAAUUUACGUAACGUGUCCAAAUAUAUAUCUAAUUACAUGUACAGAACUUUGGAAUUUUCUUUUGAGGAAAGAUAUACAUCCUUAUCAUAGACGAACAAAUUAAAUUACAAUUUCCACAUAUAGAACUUUUCUCCUUGGGUAAAAAAAAAAAUACCAGAAUUGUUACACUUGUCAACCAAUCAAACCCAGUUUAUUCUUUCAUUUUCUAAUUAAUUUAAUUAUUUGUCCUAUGUAACUGUAACAUUGACUUUUGUAAGUCAUUAAAUUAAACCAUCAAAAAGGCUUAGUUCUACGGAAAUGCUUAAUCGUCACGCAAACAAGCAUGCGGAAGAAGUCAAAGGUUGGAAAUUUAAAAAAAUUUAAAAUUUUAUAGAAAUCUAGUAUUUUUAUUUUUCAAUUUUUCUUUUACAAAAAAUAUAAAAAAAUAUUUUUCAAAAAGUUAGUUUCUUUAAAAGUAAACAAGNAAAAAAAAAAAAAAAAAAAAAAAAGGGAAUGAUUUUCGAUGCUGCGUAGAUGACAUUUGAGCUGCAGGUAAAUAUGAUAUUAGCAUUGUGUUUGAUACUGCAGAGAUUAUUUGGACAAAUUUUAUUGCUGAGGAGAAGAUCUAUGCAAUUCUACACGCUAUAAACAUUGUCACUUUCCUUUUCUGUUGUUGAACUACCAUUAACAGUGAUUCAAAAAAAAAAACAAAAAAAAACAGUUAUUAUUGUGAUUACUUGGGUGCAAUGAGUUGGACAAUUGCUGGCCUGGUGGCUGAUUGCAAUGUUAUUCUGCAUCAGCACAAUAACAUUCACCUCCUCUAUUUGUAUUACAAGAGCUUUUAACCUUCGAGCGUAUUAUCUAAGAAAAGAUCCCUUACAACGAACAAUCCAUCCAAAAAAGAUAUCUUAUGGUGAUGGUUGACGAAGGGGAUAUGGAAUGGGCCCUUGGUGAAGAUGUUGGUGAAGUUUGGGAGAGGGCAACGCGUGGAGAUCGUAAUAGAAAAAGGGUGACGAACACAUCUUUAGUUGUAGCUUGCUUAUGGAUUACAUGGGCAGAAAGGAACAAUAUAAUUUUCGGAGGGAUCAAUGGUAAGCCGCUGGCAGUGGUCAAUAAGGGUAGAUUGCUGGCGAAGCAAUAGGAGGAUAUUUGUGUGGACAAUCAUCACUUAUCUUAGAUUGAUUGUUAUAAUCUGGCAGAUUUUUUUGUAGACGGUUUCCAACUAUUUUUUCUUUUUCUUUUUCUUUUUUUCGAAAUUAGUUGCCUCAUUUCCGUAGCAAUCAAAUCUGAUAAACUAUUUAGGUUAUAUAGCAGUACAGUAAUUAAUGGUGCACAAAUAAUAAUAAUUAAAACACCACGUCAUUUUUACAUCAACGAUGUGUCAAAUAAAUUAAAUUGUGGGAUAUGAAAUAUGGUUAUAAUAACUCUGAAAGUUAGAGGUAAAAAUUAUAAUAAAUUAAAAUUUAAAGACUAUAGUAUCACCUAACUCAUAAUUUGAGAAUCAAACUUGCAAUUUAUCAUUCUUAAAAUUUUGAACGAUUGGAUAGUCAAAUCAAGAAAAAGUCAUACAAUUUUUUUUUUAAAUUUUUUGAUUUGUUAAGAAAGUGGAUGGUUAAGAUAUUUAGCAUAAAACUAAGGCUAAAUUACAGAAAACCCCCUUAUAAUAACCCGCUUUUUCACUUUCCCUCCCUGACAUUUAAAAACCUACACUUUGCCCUCCUGUAAAAUAAAAAAUGUUCACUUCACCCCCUACCGUUAGGGUUCCGUUAAAAAAUAUAUUUUUAUGCCGAAAAUACCCCUCCGCCAUCUCCAUGUUGCUUCGCCUCCCUCCGGCUCGCCACCUCGCCGCCUCCUUGCCGCCUCGCCGCCUAGCUGCCUCGCCGUCCUCCACUGCCACGCCCUCACCCACAUCCCCUUCGUCGUCCUCCGCCGCCUCGCCUUCGCCUUCUUUCCCCUUCUUCUACUGUCACCCACCUCGAUUUUUCCUACUGUCGCCGAAAUCGAGGAUGGCGAGGGUGCAGGAGGAGAAGGGGAGCAGGUGGAGAAGAAAAUGGAGAGAAAUCGCGACCGAUUGAGGUGGGAAUCACGGCAGAAUGAAGGGGCGGCUGAGGAGGAUAGGGAAGAAGACAACAAUGGCGAGGGGCAAAAUGGUCAUUUUACACACCGUAACCUCCUGUAAACAUUUUUCAUUUUACAGGGGGGCAAAAUGUAGGUUUUGAAAUGUCAGGGAAGAAAAGUGAAAAAGCGGGUUAUUACAGGGAGGUUUUCUAUAAUUUAACCUAAAACUAAUUAUGGCUGUACAAACCUACGCCCCCAAUUCAAAAAAUUCGACCGUUACACUCUCCCCGUCCCCAAAGAGCAAAAGUAUCUCCUUUCCUAAACCUCACAUGUUUUUAGGAGAUCAAUGGCACCGAAGGAAAACACUAACAAGACCACCUCACCAAGAACAUCCUCCUCCUCCUCCUCCUCCUCCCACCUCUCCGGCGCCAUGAUCAAGCAGAGCGUCCUAAGCCCGGGGUUCCGGUCGGUGGCCGCCAUGGCCGGGUGGGACGAGGAAGCUCUCUUGCUCGCGAGCCUCGUCGUCGAGGACACCCCGGUGCGAGAGUCCCGUCACAAGAGACGCUCCAAUCCCCACCUCAAAUCCCCUCCGAGCACCAGUUCCAACCGGUCCUCGUCGACUUCCAAAUACCCAUUUCGUCCCAUCCAUCCUCCUCGGUGCUCCUUCGAUCUCUAAUGGGCUCUUUCGGUUCUCGCAGGAAACGAAGAUCCCGAAGGCGGUCCACGAAUUUGGUCCCCCCCGUGGUUCUCUCUCUUGAUGAUGACGAGCUAAGUGAUAAGAAAGGUUCGAUCUUGUUCUUGUCUAAAUGUAAAAAUGUUGAAUUGAUUCUCGUUGGGUUCUCCAAAUUUGAUUUUUGGGUUUCGAUUGAUUCAGACUCGGGUGAUGCGAGAAAAGAAAUGGGGACUAUUGCUGCUGAGGAGAAGAAGAAGAAGCCGCCAUUAGCAGAGGGGGCUUCACCGGAGAAGCUCUCGAGCAACGCGCUCCCGUGUAUGGAUCGGCUGAGAGAGGAGCUUUCUUGCGCCGUAAUAAGCCAUUUUUUAGUUUCUCCUUGUCUCGAUUUUGGAUUGUUCUAUUGACCUUGUCCUAAUUUAAUUUAGUGUUUGCUAGAUUUGUUUGGAGAUUUGCUUCGAACCAAGCACUACUCCCUGUGGGCACAGGUAAAAAACCAAUUUUUAUUGAAUUUAGUCCUUCAAAUCCAUAGAAAAUUUUGUAUAUGAUUACUGGAUGUAAAAUGAUAGUAAGAUUUGAUAUAAUCACUGCAACUAUUUGCUCAAUCGCAAAGUUUUCUAUGGAUUUGAAGGACUAAAUUCAAUAAAAAUUGGUUUUUUACCUGUGCCCACAGGGAGUAGUGCUUGGUUCGAAGCAAAUCUCCAAACANAUUUUGUAUAUGAUUACUGGAUGUAAAAUGAUAGUAAGAUUUGAUAUAAUCACUGCAACUAUUUGCUCAAUCGCAAAGUUUUCAACUUGUUCUGUUUUAGCCUCUAUUAGCGAAUUGAAAACAUCCUUUUUCCUUUUUUCUUUUUAAUAACAGCUUCUGCAUGAAGUGCUUAAAGUGUGCUGCAGCUAAAUGCGGAAAAAGGUGUCCUAAAUGCAGGCAACUGAUCAGGUAAAAAGAAAAACAAAAAAUCUCACCUUAAAGAGUGCUCCUUUGUUAACAAUAUGAAAGGGUUUUGUAAGAAUCGAGUUCAAUGUAUUCAUUUUAUGUGUGUUUUACAGCAAUGGGAGAUCUUGCACAGUGAACACAGUUCUUUGGAACACAAUUCAGCUCCUGUUUCCGGAGGAAGUCGGGGCGAGGAAGAGCUCCACAGACCCAAAAAUCACUUCUGAUCAAAGCACCGAACCCUCUUCCGAAGGUUCAGAGCGAAGCAACAGCGACAUCACCAGAAGCAGCAGCAUGAGAAGCUACACCCAAGUUUCUGAAACAAUGGAUCGGGUGGGCAGAAGAAGGGCGGCGCCGAGCCGCCAAUCGGAGGAUGCCGCGUUGGCUUAUCGGUUGCAGAGGGAAGAGUUCAUGGUAGCUUUCCGGAGCAGCCGCGAGGAGCAGCGGAGUGCCCUCUACGCUGCUAGCGCCAAUCUCCGAUCUAUGGCCUCUAGAGCUAUUCAUUUGCGGACUAGAAGUCGGCACUCAUAAUAUGCAUGUUACCGUUAUUCCGCUUUCUGAAACAAUUUGGCAGAACAUUCAGACUAAAACACUUCAUUUGAUGGAAUUGUAUCGAAUUUCGUAGAUGUUGAUUAGCACUUUUUGGCGGUACUUAGCCCAAUAUUUGAAUUCUUCACUGUUCUAACAUGUUGUAGGAAUCCUCUUUGUUAAAGCAUUGGUGUGAUCAGAUGGAAAAAUCGAAAUAAUAUUACAGCGGUACAUUUUGCAGAUUGAUCAGAUGGAAAACACGAAUCUAAACACACAUUUUAUCGAAUUGAAUUAUCAUUAUUAUUGUUAUUAUCAUUUUAGUGUUGCAGGACAUAUUAGAAACUACUGUCCGGCCCUGGUCCAUUAUGAAUCACUAUCUCUUUUUCUUUUUUACUAAAGAAAAAAAAGGUGUUUAUCGGUUUAUGCACACCUUCGUAUUCGUGCACUACAUAAAAUUGAGAAAUGCUAGCUAUAUGUUCUAAAAAGUGGUGUAUAUCCUACACCACUUUGUCCCAAGAUUCGUGAUUUUUUAAAUUUUUUAAUAGUUUAUAAAAAAAAAUAGUUAAAAAGAUAAAAGCAAAAUAUUGAUUUUUAGAUGGAGAAUUAAUAUAAAAUUUACAAUCUUUUUAGAAUAUAUAGGUAGCAUUGCUGUUUCAUUAUAUACAACACUAUUAAUUUUUUUUUAAUUCUAAUAUACAAAUUUAGCUUUUCUGUACUAUCCACGACAUUCAUAUAUGUACUUAUUAAAAAUUAUAUUAAACUACUCACAAUUAGACGAUGAUUUCGUAAUAAAAUCUGUUUUGAAACCUCGGCAGCCAAACACUUCGGCACUGUUUGGAUUAGGAAUAAGAGGAUAUCCCUCUCCUUAUCCCUUUUAUACCCAAACGCAAAUUUUUUAUCUGAAAUAGUAGUUUUCGACUAUCUGAAAUAAGCUGGUAUAAUUAUCCUCGUCAAAACCUUCAUUUUUUAUAUAUAACUACUCAUUAUUUUUCUUAUAUCUAUCCCUAUAAUAGCUAGUUCUUGCUUAUAUCCGAACAAAACGAAGCCUUCCUGUUUAAAGGGCCCAAAAAAAAAUCUGAACAUAUUUUUACAGUUCAUCUCUUAUAUGGUAUAAAAUAGUCUGGAUUGAGCCCUGGUGCAUAGACCGCGGUGCAUGGAAUAAAUUCGGACCGGAUAAGAGAUUGGAAACAAAGAAGGAAAGGCUCUAGUGAGAGAGAGAGAGGAAACGAGAGAGAGAGCGAGCUCUUUCGCUCUCUCUUUUUCCUUGGAAAGGGAGUGAGAAGAAGCAGCAAUGGAAGUGGUGGGCGUGUCGACACGGGCUCCUCUGAUUCGCGUAUGCAGCAGCGCCGCGAAAGCGUUGAUUAACUGGGAAGUGCGAGCACUGUAUGAUGUGCAUGUACGUACGUCUUUCGGAAAUGAAUACUAGUGUAGAUUUUUUUUUUUUUUUCAGGAUGGGAGAAACUCCAAAAUAUCAUCACGUGAUUUCGUACUUUUUUAUUUUAUUAUUUUAUAAUUUAAAGUGUAUUAAAUUAAUAACUUAUGAUUUUAUAUUUUUUUACUUUAGUAUCCUGUGAUUUAAAGUGCAUCAAUUCAGUACACUGUAGUUUCAUUUUUCUCUUUUCUCCAGCUCCUUUGUUAAUAUUUCGUUAAAUUAUAUACAAAAACUUCAGAUACCCUGUAGUUUCAUUUUUCUCUUUUAUUCGGCUCCUCUCUUAAUAUUUCGUUAAAUUAUAUACAAAAAACUUCAGAUACGCACCCUACCUAACUAGAUUUAUCGAAUAUUUAUUUUAGUAUCUUUUAGUUUUAAUUUUGUCACUGAUUUUUUUUUCCUUCGUUAAUAUUUCGUUAAAUUAUAUACAAAAAACUUUAGAUAUCCUACGUAGGUUUAUCGAAUAUUUACUUUAGUACCCUUUAAUUUUAACUUUGUCACUGAUUUAACGAAAAAUUAGUGAAAUAAAUAAUAAAAAGAAAAAAAUAAAACCACAUGGCACUAACUUAAUACAUUUUAAACUUGAAACCACAUGUGGGUAAAUUGCACUAUUACCCUCUGAACUUUUGGCGAAAUUUCACUUUAUCCCUCGAACUCCUAAAAUGGACAUCUAACCCCCUAAACUCUAAUAUUUCGUUCAUAUUACCCCUUCCGUCAGUUUUCCGUCAAACUCCGUUAAUCGGAAAUUAACGAAAGGUAUAAAACGAAUGAAAUAUUAGAGUUUAACGUAUUAGAUAUCUAUUUUAGGAGUUUGGGGGUUAAGUGAAACUCGCCAAAAGUUCAAGAAGUAGUAGUGCACUUUACUCCGUAGGGGACUCUUGACUAUAAAUUAUUUUAUUAUAAUAUGUUACUUAUGGAUUGACUACUAAUCCUCAAGUUAGUGAUCAUACUUGAUUUUAAAUUCAUAUAUAUUUUUUAUCCUAAAAUAAAUCAUACCAUAAUUUAUCCUACAUUUUAUUGUAAUAAAAUAAAAGUGAAAGAAAUGAAUUAGAAUGACUUAAAGAUAAAAAAAGAUAGAUACUAACUAUCUACGAUACUCGAACACUCUACUAUUUUGGUAUACUCGCUAAUAUGGUUAAUUUACAAUAGGUGUCCUCACUCGGAUAUAGAUAAUUUAAUUCUCAGUUAAUUUUCUGUAGUACUCGUUUGUCCCUUUUAUCUUUAGAAGCAUUAUUCUAUAAAAUACACUUAAAUAAAAUUUUUAUACUUCAUUUCAGUCAAUUAGAAAUUUUUAAUAUAAAAAUAUAAAAAUAAUUUAUAGUAAAAAUUGGGGUAAAUUGUAUUGUUACUUCCUGAACUUUUUGCAAGUUUCACUUAACCCCCCAGACUCCUAACAUAGACAUCUAACACCCUAAACUUUAAUAUUUUAUUCGUUUUACCCCUUCCGUCAGUUUCCGGUUAACGGAGCUUGAUGGAAAACUGACGGAAGGGGUAAUAUAAACGAAAUAUUAGAAUUUAGGGGGUUAGAUGUUCAUUUUAGAAGUUCAAGGGGUAAAGUGAAACUUCGCCAAAAGUUCAGGGGGUAAUAAUGCAAUUUAUCCUUUACUUUAGUACCUUUUAGUUUUAAUUUUGUCACUGAUUUUUUUUUCCUUCGUUAAUAUUUCGUUAAAUUAUAUACAAAAAAACUUCAGAUAUCCUACGUAGGUUUAUCGAAUAUUUACUUUAGUAUUCUUUAAUUUUAAUUUUGUCACUGAUUUAACGAAAAAUCAGUGAAAUAAAUAAUAAAAAGAGAAAAAUGAAACCACAUGGCACUAAUUAACUUGAUACAUUUUGAACUAUAAAGUACUAAAGUAAGAAAGUGCGAAACUAUAAGAGCUAAUUUAAUACACUUUAAACCACAUGGUACUAAAGUGAGAAAGUGUGAAACCACGUGGGAGUAUUUGAAGUUUAUCCUUCUUUUUAAGAGCACCGAUGGGUGAUUACUAAAAAUAAACUCAGAUAAAAAUAUAAAGUAACUAUAUUUUCAACUUAAAAAUCUCGAAUGUCAACCAUUAAAAGUUCUUAGCUAAUUAUACUGAGAGGGCCGAUUUUUCCUACAAAUUUUUUAAAAUGUUAUUUAGAUAAGACUGUAUAAAAUUUAUCAAAAUUAUAUAUUAUUUUGAUUCUACUAGGAAAAUUUUUAAAAUAAAAAUUUUAAUAUCUAAUCUUUCAAUUUAUUUUAUUUAAAUAAUUUGAUGAUUUUUUUUUUGAAAGAUAGAUAGCACGCUAUCCGCUUCAUUUAUUUUAUUUAGAAAUAAACUUAGCUGGAAUUGUGAAUCAACUGGGAUUCGAACUUGGGACCUCGAGUACCAACCAUCAAACCCUUUGUCACUUGUUUUAGGGACGGUUGGUAAAAAAAUAAAUUUAUAGUUAUGUAAUUGUAUAAAAUAGCUAACUAAAUUGGUAAAGAUAAAUAAUAAAUUUAUAUUUUAAAGUAAAAGAAUUUGUAAUUGACGCAAAUCAAAAAAUUAAAAGUUUAGAUAGUAAAAUUAAAAUUUCUAAGUAGU
rnacentral:lncRNA from 1 species